rnacentral:rRNA from 1 species
GCGAACGCUGGCGGCAGGCCUAACACAUGCAAGUCGAGCGGCCGUAGCAAUACGGCAGCGGCAGACGGGAGAGUAACACGUGGGAACGUGCCUUUUGGUUCGGAAUAGCUCCUGGAAACGGGUGGUAAUGCCGAAUGUGCCCUUCGGGGGAAAGAUUUAUCGCCAUUAGAGCGGCCCGCGUCUGAUUAGCUAGUUGGUGAGGUAAAGGCUCACCAAGGCUACGAUCAGUAGCUGGUCUGAGAGGAUGACCAGCCACAUUGGGACUGAGACACGGCCCAAACUCCUACGGGAGGCAGCAGUGGGGAAUCUUGCGCAAUGGGCGAAAGCCUGACGCAGCCAUGCCGCGUGAAUGAUGAAGGUCUUAGGAUUGUAAAAUUCUUUCACCGGGGACGAUAAUGACGGUACCCGGAGAAGAAGCCCCGGCUAACUUCGU